AUCUACGUUGUUAAGCUCACUUCAUAAUAUUCUUUUUUUUCACAGCAAAACUUUCUCAAUGCAGAAGGUAGUGCAUUUUUUUCACCAUCCUCGUGUAGUAACAAAUAGCCUGUGGUCUGACAGCUCGUUUGUUGACCCCACAUUGAGUAGCACUGCAUACAUUUCCAUUUAUGAAACAGGUGUUGUAUAUUAAUAAAUAUUAAAAUUCUUUAUUAGGAAAACAGCAUGAAAAAUAACAUAAUAUUUAUUGCUUUUUGUAUUUAUUUAGAUCUCAUUCAUACAAAUAUAAUCUAAUAAAACAGAUCAAAUCUGAGUUUUACUUCUUCAAAAUUCUUCAAAUUUUUAUUAUUAUACUAGUUUAUGAAUUGCAUCACAAGGUAAUAGUAAAUAUUUGUUAGUCCAUUUUUUAUUCAGAAAAGCCUAUUUAUUUUCUAUUCAUGCAUCUCUUCUCUAAUUACUUUCUACAAAUAUACAAGUUAUAAUAAAAAUAUUCUCCUUUCAUGUUUUUUCCUUGCAACUCAUGUCCAAAUAUUGUGAUGUCUAAUAGUUAUAAGUCAGAAGAUCCCUGAUUACUCCAUUUUUUUUGAAAAAUAAAUGGUGAAGAACUUAACCUCAGAUUAAUUUACAUUUCACAUAUCUGAAAUUAAGUUCGUUUUAUCCAGGUAAGUGAAAUUUAAGGUUGAAUUGUCAGUUAGAAAUUUGCUUUUCACCCAUCAUCAAUUUAUUUUUAUACGUGAUCCCUCAAUAAACUGUAGAUCCUUAUGGUUCUAAUCUUUCACGUUUUACCAACAAAGAUAUGGAAAUAGGAAAUACUCUCAAGCCAUUCUAGGACUGGCUUAUGUAGUGCUUUCCUGUAAUGUGACCGCACAUUUCUACUGACCACAGCUAUAGUUCUAGCCCUGAGCUCCCUCUGGGACUUCAGAGAGGAAUAGGGUAUGACCUCUGGCCAGUAGCAGGCUUUAAUCACAGAAUUUCACAGUAAAUAUUGUGGAUGUGCUUUCUGAGAAAUAAGUAUAAGAAAGAGUAUAAUUUCAAGAAUUUUACAAUUGUGUAGGUGUGACCAGAUACACGCAUACGAAUAUAUGAUAAAUAGUAAGUAUAUGUGACUCGACUGGAAAAUUGAAUAGCAUAUUAAAACGCUAAUUAAGUGUUACACACACACUAAGACAUUUGAUAAGUUGGUUAGAGAAGUUUCCAGAAAGAGGUGAGAAAUUAAGAAUGACAAAUUGCAUAGAAACAGAAUUAAGUAGGGAACAUUGGACGAAUUAUGAGAAAAAAAUCUGCCUGAUAGCAAUGAAUAAGGAUUUGUUUAUAGGAGUAAACAAAGAUUUUUUUUACAUUCUAUUAAACAAAAUUUAGCUGUUAUAAACCUACCCCAUUAAUCUAUGCAAACUUUACCAAACUUCAGUACUUUAUUGCAUGGUUAUUAUUUCUUCAUUGCUAAUUUCCACUUGUUUUAAAAAAGGGCCAUAAUAUAAAAGAGGCAUGUGAAAAUUGCCAUCCUAGCUCCACAAACUGCAACAGUGAGAUUCUAUUUCCCAGGAGUUUUGAAUUUAGAUAAAGAGAAACUGCAUUAGUUAGGGGAGAAAGCUUGUAGUCAACACAGAAUCAACAGCUAUGACUGCCAUUUGCAGGGGGGUGGGGGGGGUGGGCAAUCAAAUUAAACCGUGUGCAAGUAAGACUAUAUGAGUCUGUCUGUAGAAGAGGAACAAAAAUGAGACAGAAAUCAGUAGAUUAAAUUAGAGAUCUUGAAACCAUGAAGAGAGAGAAACUGAGAGUUUUCCUUUCUUCAGAACCCGCUUGCACAUUUCUACUCUGUUUCAAUUGAUCUCUCUCUUCUCUGAACUGAAAUAGAACUUAUUCAAAUUAUUUUUUGAUGCUAAAGUAUCUAUUGCCUCAAGGUCUUUCAUGCCUAAGUUUUACUUGAAAUUUAAACCUUUUGUGGUUAUUUAUAUAACUUGCAUUUUUUGACAUUUUUAUUUUAUGGAAAAAUCUUUUGUAUUUCUUAAGAUUUUCCGUUGGUUUUACAUUUUAGAAACGCAAAGUUAUUACUCCACCUUAUUUUCACACUGUGAUAACUUCAUAGAGACCAUGGACCUAGUUUGUUACAUAUGAUCACAAUUUUUAGUCCCAUGAAUAACGAAUUGAGGAUUUCCAGUUGCAGUGACAUAAAAUACAGUAAAAGUAGACCAAGAGCCCCAUUGUUUACAUUUAAAAGAUAUAAUGGGUAACUUAAAGUUACGUAUAGACAUAAUAGUUAAUAUUCAGAGUUCAGAUUGUCCUCAAAACAUAAUAGAAGCCAGGCAUGAGUGAAAUCUUUCAAAGAUUCAAUUUUAAAAUAAGUAAGCUGAGGCUGUAUGUUUAUCAAAUAUUAUAAAUUCCAACCCUUGAACAACUUGCUGUUUCAAGAAUCACUUAUCAAAAGACCAACUCCUGUUCUAGGCAAAACACAUGAGAGCAUAUGAGAAGAAACACUGCAGAAAAUUUCUUUAGUCCAUCAUGACAAAGUUAUUUUGAACAGGUGUGUUUAUAAUCGCAAGAAACUGAGAAAAUCAGUCUUUAAUGGCAAACUCCUAUUUUCAUUUCUUAGGAACCUAGAGCUAGAAUAUAAAACACAGGGAAUUUGGCAGGAAGAGGUCUUGUUAGAGCAUCUUAUGCACCUCCUGCGGACAUUAUUUCCCUGUGAUACUCCAGUUCCUUCAUUCUGUUAUUGUUUUAAGGCACAUUAUAAAGACAACAAAGUAGGCAUUUCUAGGGCUACAGAAUCUUGUGUGUGGCAGCAAAGUACAUUAUCAAGAAGCCUC
ensembl:lncRNA